rnacentral:rRNA from 1 species
UACGGGGGGGGCAAGCGUUGUUCGGAAUUACUGGGCGUAAAGGGCUCGUAGGUGGCCAACUAAGUCAGACGUGAAAUCCCUCAGCUUAACUGGGGAACUGCGUCUGAUACUGGAUGGCUUGAGUUUGGGAGAGGGAUGCGGAAUUCCAGGUGUAGCGGUGAAAUGCGUAGAUAUCUGGAGGAACACCGGUGGCGAAGGCGGCAUCCUGGACCAACACUGACACUGAGGAGCGAAAGCGUGGGGAGCGAGCCGG